CCUACGGGUGGCAGCAGUAGGGAAUAUUGCUCAAUGGGGGAAACCCUGAAGCAGCAACGCCGCGUGGAGGAUGAAGGUUUUCGGAUUGUAAACUCCUUUUGUUAGAGAAGAUAAUGACGGUAUCUAACGAAUAAGAACCGGCUAACUCCGUGCAACCAGCGGCGGGAAUACGGAGGGUGCAAGCGUUAUUCGGAAUAACUGGGUGUAAAGGGCGCGUAGGCGGGAGAGCAAGUCAGAUGUGAAAACCUAUGGCUUAACCUUAGAACUGCAUUUGAAACUGUUAUUCUAGAGUAUGGGAGAGGUAGGUGGAAUUCGUGGUGUAGGGGUAAAAUCCGUAGAGAUCAAGAGGAAUACUCAUUGCGAAGGCGACCUGCUAGAACAUAACUGACGCUGAUGCGCGAAAGCGUGGGGAGCAAACAGGAUUAGAUACCCGGGUAGUC
rnacentral:rRNA from 1 species